rnacentral:SRP_RNA from 1 species
GCCAGGCGCAGUGGCGUGUGCCUGUAGUACCAGCUACUUGGGAGGCUGAGGCUGGAGGAUUGCUUGAGUCCAGGAGUUCUGGGCUGUAGUGCCCUAUGCCUAUCGGGUGUCUGCACUAAGUUUGGCAUCAAUAUGGUGACCUCCUGGGAGUGGGGGACUACCAGGUUGCCUAAGGAGGGGUGAACCGGCCCAGGUUGGAAAUGGAGCAGGUCAAAACUCCUGUGCUGAUGAGUAGUGGGGUCGUGCCUGUGAAUAGCCACUGCACUCCAGCCUGGGCAACAUAGGGAGACCCCGUCUCU